UACGGAGGGGGCUAGCGUUGUUCGGAAUUACUGGGCGUAAAGCGCUCGUAGGCGGCUAUUCAAGUCGGGGGUGAAAGCCCGAGGCUCAACCCCGGAACUGCCCUCGAAACUAGAUAGCUAGAAUCUUGGAGAGGCGAGUGGAAUUCCGAGUGUAGAGGUGAAAUUCGUAGAUAUUGGGAAGAACACCAGUGGCGAAGGCGGCUCACUGGCCCGUAACUGACGCUGAGGUGCGAAAGCGUGGGGAGCAAACAGG
rnacentral:rRNA from 1 species